UACAGAGGGGGGCAAGCGUUGUUCGGAAUUACUGGGCGUAAAGGGCGCGUAGGCGGCCUUCUAAGUCGAACGUGAAAUCCCCGGGCUCAACCCGGGAACUGCGUCCGAUACUGGAAGGCUUGAAUCCGGGAGAGGUGAGUGGAACUCCGAGUGUAGAGGUGAAAUUCGUAGAUAUUCGGAAGAACACCAGUGGCGAAGGCGACUCACUGGCCCGAUACUGACGCUGAGGCGCGAAAGCGUGGGGAGCAAACGGG
rnacentral:rRNA from 1 species